rnacentral:rRNA from 1 species
AACGAACGCUGGCGGCAGGCUUAACACAUGCAAGUCGAACGCAUCCUUCGGGGUGAGUGGCAGACGGGUGAGUAACGCGUGGGAACGUGCCCUUCAGUUCGGGAUAACCCAGGGAAACUUGGGCUAAUACCGGAUACGUGCGAGAGCAGAAAGAUUUAUCGCUGAAGGAUCGGCCCACGUCUGAUUAGCUAGUUGGUGGGGCAAUGGCCCACCAAGGCGACGAUCAGUAGCUGGUCUGAGAGGAUGAUCAGCCACAUUGGGACUGAGACACGGCCCAAACUCCUACGGGAGGCAGCAGUGGGGAAUAUUGGACAAUGGGCGCAAGCCUGAUCCAGCCAUGCCGCGUGAGUGAUGAAGGCCUUAGGGUUGUAAAGCUCUUUCGUCCGGGACGAUAAUGACGGUACCGGAAGAAGAAGCCCCGGCUAACUUCGUGCCAGCAGCCGCGGUAA